rnacentral:lncRNA from 1 species
GGGGGCUGUAUCUUCAGAAAUCCAGAAGUUGCGGUCAUCUUUUAUGUCAUCAUACUGAGGCAUCUUUGGAAGAUGGCUGACGGGUACAGGCAUGAGUCAAUACCUGAAGAGGAAGACAUUUAAAUGUAGGACUUCUUCCAUCUCCUGGAAUUACUGUCACUUCUUCAAAAAGAUAGAACGGUUCCUGCCUCAUCCUUCUUUCCAGAAGAUCAAGAACAGCAGUCUUUAUGCUUCUCGUUCUUUAAUGUAAUUCUUGAUACCAUUUAUAUAAUUAAAGAUUC